UACGGAGGGUGCGAGCGUUGUCUGGAAUCACUGGGCGUAAAGGGUGCGUAGGCGGCAGGCCAAGCGUGCGGUGAAAGUCCGGGGCUCAACCCCGGAUCUGCCGUGCGGACUGGUUUGCUAGAGCACUGUAGAGGCGAGUGGAAUUCCGGGUGUAGCGGUGGAAUGCGUAGAGAUCCGGAAGAACACCGGUGGCGAAGGCGGCUCGCUGGGCAGUGGCUGACGCUGAGGCGCGACAGCGUGGGGAGCAAACAGG
rnacentral:rRNA from 1 species